AUUGAACGCUGGCGGCAGGCCUAACACAUGCAAGUCGAGCGGGGUUUUCGGACCUAGCGGCGGACGGGUGAGUAAUGCGUAGGAAGCUGCCCGAUAGAGGGGGAUACCAGUUGGAAACGACUGUUAAUACCGCAUAAUGUCUACGGACCAAAGUGUGGGACCUUCGGGCCACAUGCUAUCGGAUGCGCCUACGUGGGAUUAGCUAGUUGGUGAGGUAAUGGCUCACCAAGGCGACGAUCUCUAGCUGGUUUGAGAGGAUGAUCAGCCACACUGGAACUGAGACACGGUCCAGUCUCCUGCGGGAGGCAGCAGUGGGGAAUAUUGGACAAUGGGCGCAAGCCUGAUCCAGCCAUGCCGCGUGUGUGAAGAAGGCCUUCGGGUUGUAAAGCACUUUCAGCGAGGAGGAAGGGGUGUGUGUUAAUAGUACACACCUUUGACGUUACUCGCAGAAGAAGCACCGGCUAACUCUGUGCCAGCCGCCGCGGUAAUAC
rnacentral:rRNA from 1 species